AUUUGGAAGUCUUAUACAGCUAGGGUUACUAGAUGGGUAGACUAAAAUAUCUGGGCAAAUUUUCAAAAAGUCGGGAUUUUGGGAUUAGGGUCGGGACCAACGGGACAAAUAAAUGUUAAGAAAUAUAAAAAAAAUCACUUUUUAUUAUAAAAAUUUAAAUCACAAAAACAAUAAACAAAAUUACUUUUUAUUA